rnacentral:rRNA from 1 species
GAUGAACGCUAGCGACAGGCCUAACACAUGCAAGUCGAGGGGCAGCACAAGAGGUAGUAAUACUGAGGGUGGCGACCGGCGCACGGGUGAGUAACACGUAUGCAACCUGCCUGUAAGCGGGGGAUAACCCGGAGAAAUUCGGAUUAAUACCGCAUAAGACUUUAGAACUGCAUGGUUUAAAAGUUAAAGAUUAAUUGAUUACAGAUGGGCAUGCGUAUGAUUAGAUAGUUGGUAGGGUAACGGCCUACCAAGUCUACGAUCAUUAGGGGUUCUGAGAGGAAGGUCCCCCACACUGGUACUGAGACACGGACCAGACUCCUACGGGAGGCAGCAGUGAGGAAUAUUGGUCAAUGGGCGAGAGCCUGAACCAGCCAAGUCGCGUGAAGGAAGAAGGUUCUAUGGAUUGUAAACUUCUUUUGCAGGGGAAUAAAAGAGGGCACGUGUGCUCUAUUGUAUGUACUCUGCGAAUAAGGAUCGGCUAACUCCGUGCCAGCCGCCGCGGUAAGAC